rnacentral:tRNA from 1 species
GCCUGGGUGGCUCAGUCGGUCGAGCGUCUGACUUUGGCUCAAGGUCAUGAUCUUGCCGUCUGUGAGUUCAAGCCCCACCUCGGGCU